rnacentral:rRNA from 1 species
UACGGAGGAUCCAAGCGUUAUCCGGAAUCAUUGGGUUUAAAGGGUCCGUAGGCGGUUUAAUAAGUCAGUGGUGAAAGCCCAUCGCUCAACGGUGGAACGGCCAUUGAUACUGUUAAACUUGAAUUAUUAGGAAGUAACUAGAAUAUGUAGUGUAGCGGUGAAAUGCUUAGAGAUUACAUGGAAUACCAAUUGCGAAGGCAGGUUACUACUAAUGGAUUGACGCUGAUGGGCGAAAGCGUGGGUAGCGAACAGG